rnacentral:rRNA from 1 species
UGGCGAACGGGUGAGUAACACGUGGGUAAUCUGCCCUGCACUCUGGGAUAAGCCUGGGAAACUGGGCCUAAUACUGGAUAUGACCUUUCUCCUUAUGGGGUUUGGUGGAAAGUUUUUCGGUGUAGGAUGAGCCCGCGGCCUAUCAGCUUGUUGGUGGGGUGAUGGCCUACCAAGGCGACAACGGGUAGCCGGCCUGAGAGGGUGAUCGGCCACAUUGGGACUGAGAUACGGCCCAG